AUACCUUUCUCGGCCUUUUGGCUAAGAUCAAAUAUAAUAUCUGUUCUUAUUAGUUUAAUAUCUGAUAUGUGGGCCACUAGCCCACACGAUAUUAAAUUAAUUUUUUAAGGGGGAGAGGCCAAAGUUUAUUUCAAUUAUUUGGCCAGAUUAGUCAAUAUUUAUAUUUAUAUCAUGUUUUAAUUAUUCAAC